rnacentral:lncRNA from 1 species
AAAAAGUUAAAUUACCACUUAUCGAUUCUUAUAGUAACUUAACGUUUAUCAUGAGAAUUAGUAUCAAAUUAUCAUUCUAGUUGAAACACCAUCUCCUCUCUUUCCCUUAGACUACUCUCAUGACAAUUAAAUACGUGCAUGGCGGAGUCCCCUUGCCAUGCAGCAGGCUAAAUAUCUGGAGCUGUCACUGAAGUUGCCUUGGUUGCUGCAGUGGCUCAGGUUCGCCUGCCUGGGAACUUUCAUAUGCCGUGAGCGCAGCCAAACAAAAAAAGUGCCCGCAAAAAAACAAUGUCAAGUUGCUAUUCUCUAAAAUGGUACUACUCUUGUAUGACAAGUCCAAACUAGACAGAAACUGAUUUUCUCUUUCUCACAAUGCACAGAUGGCAUUAUCCAGCUCUCCUUAUUGGAAAGGAAAAGCCUACUGCUGAAAAGAAUUCAAAAAAAUUUCAACCAUUUAUAUUAUAAAAUAUGAAGAAAAAUAAAAACUUGUUCAUUACACAAAAGAAGGAAGUUGACUGAAAAAAAGCACACAGUCUAGAAGUUAAGAACUGUUUUAUUUGGUAGACUUCAUAGGGACUUAAGCCCAAGAUAUCAGCUCUCAGGUAUCUCCAAAGGACUGUUUGUUGUGCAGUCAGAGGAGCAAGACACAGAAAUGGGACAGGACUAAAGUGCCAGAUGAAGGCAACAACUCAAGAACAAUGACGCUUCCUUGACUUAAAAAGAAAAAAACUUAACAAAGUUUUCUCGCCACGGAUCAAAGUUAUUUUCAUUACCGCCUUGGCAUUUCCUCUAUAUCCUAAAACUGUACUUUCAGGAGACACAUGCAAAAUGUCAGACUGAAAUGUUCACACAUCAGUGACAUUUUUGCACCAGAGAAAUGGAUCCAAUCUGUAUCAAUGGCCGAACUUACUUCAAUAAAUGUGUUUUCUGCAGUGAAAAGCCAGAAAAUAGUGGAAAUUUUGAACUUAGUCACUAUGAUAGUUGCUGACUCCACCUCAGCUACACACUCCUGACUUUUACUGCAAUUCUACUUUGCUAUGGACUACAACCAAUAGGAAUCUUCUCAAUCAGGGCUUUAAAUUCCUAGAUACCCAAAGACUUCUACGUCACACAAAAUGGAAUACAAAAUGUUGAAGAAUUUUCCCAACUCUUAUGCACCUGAAAUUAAAAUUUUUAUUUUCUCCACCCCCCCUCGCCCCCGCUUUUUUUUGGCCACCCUGAGGUAUAUGGAGUUCCCUGGCCAGGGAUCAAACCUGCAUCUAAGCUCCCAAUACACCAGCAAUUCUAUUGCACCACAGUGGGAAUUCCAAAGAUUUUUAUUUUCUAUGUUCGAUUAUUUAAUGACAGUUGAAAACUUUCUUAAUUGUGUGUUUGAUAAAUAGAAAACCUAAUUAUGAUCAAAUAUUCAAUCAAUAAAAUGUUAAAUAGUAAUUGAAAAAAUCUUGGAGUUCCCACUGUGGUGCAGAGAGUUAAGAAUCCAACUGCAGCAGCUAAGGUCACUGUGGAGGCAAGGGUUCAACCCUCAGCAGUGUUGGCGUUGCCACAAUGUGGCAUAAGUCACAGCUACAGCUCAGAUUCAAUCCCCGGCUUGGGAAUUUCCAUACACCAAAUGUGCAGCUAUUAAAAAAUGUUGUUUUGAGUAAUGAAUAAUAUAAAAAAGCCAUUUACAGAAUUCCUGCUACAGCACAAAAGAACCCACCAUGUCUUGGGAACCCUGGAAUGCAGUUUCAAUCCCCAACCGGGGAUAGUGGGUUAAGGAUCUGGCAUUAUCAUAGCUGGCCCGGGAAUUCCAUAUGCUGCAAGGCAGCCAAAAGUGGGGAGGAGUGGGGGGAGAGGAAGCCAUUUACUUUUUCUCAAAGUAAAUCACUCUUGAACCAUUACUCAAGAAUCUAAGAAAAAAUUGGGAGUUCCCAUUGUGGCACAGAAGAAAACGGAUCCGAUUAGGAACUAUGAGGUUGUCAGCUUGAUCCCUGGCCUUGCUGUGAGCUGUGGUGUAGGUUGCAGAUGCGGCUCAGAUCUGGUGUUGCUGUGACUGUGGCAUAGGCUGGCAGGUACACCUCCGAUUAGACCCCUACCCUGGGAGCCUCCAUAUGCUGCAGGUGUGGCCCUAAAAUGACAAAAGACAAAAAAUAAAUAAAUAAAUAAGAAUCUUUAAAAAAAAAAAAAAAUCAACUGUCGAUAGAAAAAUAUUUUUAACUUUAAAAUUUUAUUUAAAUGGUUACCUAUUUGUUCUAGAAAAGCUCACUUGAAUUCUUCCCAGUCUAUGAUAAAUUAAUAAUGUUUUAUAAGCUACAAGGAAGUAAAGGAAAGGGAGAAAGCUCUUCAAUACAUUGUAAAUAAAUACGGACUCAACACAUUGUAGAUAAAUACGGACUAUUAGCCUAAGUACUUCUACAGAAGAAAUGCGAAAAGUAGACAAAUAUAAAAGCACUACCCAGCCUAAGUCAUUACGAGUAAGGAGUAGAGGAGUUCCUGCUGUGGCGCAGCAGGACUGGCGGCAUCUCUGCAGAGCCAGUACACAGGUUUGAUUCUCAGCCCCACACAGAAGGUUAAAGGAUCCAGCAUUGCCACAGUGCCACAGCUGCAGUGUAGGGUGCAACUGUGGCUUGGAUCUGAUCAGUGGCCAGGGAACUACAAAUGCCUCAGCGUGGCAAAAAAAAAAAAGAAAAAAGAAAAAAAAGACUAGAUUCCCCGACCACAUCUAGAUCCCCAAGAGUACCACCAAAUCACAGCAACACACAAUCAAUGUCCACAACCUCUCAGCAAUUACAUAAAGAUUAACAGGCACUUUUAAAAACAAAGUACUUAGUAACUAGGAAAAUCUUCAGUAAGUGUCAUUUUAAAUGUUUGAGGUUUUUUUUUAACCUUUAAUGCUUUAAACAUUGUUUAGGAGUUCCCUCUGUGGUGCAUGGGCUAAGAACCUGACUGCAAUGGCUCAGUCGCUAAGGAGGUUUGAUCCUGACACGGUGGGUUAAAGGGUUAAAGGGUCGGGCGUUGCCACAGCUGUGACUCAGAUUCAAUCCCUGGCCCGGAAACUUCCUCAUGGUGUGGAUGUGGCCAUAAAAAUAACAACAACAACAAUAGUUGCUUAAAGAGCUAACUAUGGUCCAUAAAGAGGUAUGGAGAAUGGGUUUCCUAGCACUUGAGAACUGAAAUAGAACGGGUUUCUAAUGACAUUUCUUCACUGGAAAAUUUAUAUUCAGAGGUUUAAAAAAUACAUAAAGUCUAAGAUAUAAGGUUAUGCAAAAUUCCAAAGGGGAAAAAAAAAAUCAAUGGAACUGUUUGUUAUAGAUAUGCUCUUGGGUUCUGGAAUAGACUGAGUGAUACAGGGUUACAGAGACAAACACUGUAGCUCUAUCUUAGAUGAAUCAGUAUGCUUUCCCUGCCAAAACCCUCCAAAAAGCUUCAUUUCCUUAAACUUUCAUGUCUUCUUGAAGAGGUUUAACUUCAGGGAUAUCUAAGAAACCCAAAUUCUCAUAACAUUUUGUUUUUGUCUCAAACUCUGUACAGGACAAACUUUCUUACCUUCUACUAAUUCUGUAUAAGAAAACCUAAUCCUUCACUAAGCAUGUAUUAUUAGUACUGGAUGCUAUUAUUAUAACUUCAUUUUCAAUAACUUUCAAUGUCAUUCAUUUACUUAUAUAAACUGAUUCUAAAGUUACAUGUGCAAAUUAUCAAUUUUAUAAACAAAUAUAACAAUAGCAAUUAAUUAAAUAUUUUAAAAUCGUUCAAAAGUGGUAUUUCUCUAGCAAAAGUAAAACAUUUAAAAAACUUAAUCUUGUAAAAAAAAAAAUUAUUUUUAGGAAUUCCCUGGUGGCCUAGAGGUUAAGGACCCAGUAUUGUCACUGUUGUGGCUUGGGUGGUUACCCCUGUGGCUCAGGUUCAAUCCCUGGCCCAGGAACUUCAGUAUGCUGUAGGCGCAGCCCAAAAAAACCUGUUUUCAGUGAGCUUACUUUGAACUUCUGCUUAGCAUGAAAAAAUUACUUCUAACUAGCUGCUAGAUAUUCAUUCAGAUACUGUCAACAUUUUUAAAUGAUGGGUUAAACAACCCUGAGAACUAAAUAACAAAACAUAAACUAGUUUUAUUUAAUUCUCCAAGCCCAGGUCACACACAAAAGCACUUAGGAUCAACAUCAACAACAUCCACACACGGGUCAGUGUGAGCCAACAGGCAUGUGCAGACCUACCUCUCACAAUGUAAGUUUAAGACUGAACAAUCAAAAGGACUCCAGAAUAGAGCUAUACAUUUUCCACGGUUUCAGAGCACUGAUCUUCAAUUCUGCGUAUGUUCCAUGAACUGAAUGCCAGUCCUGCUCCUGUAACAUUUAAGAAAACUCAAGGAAAGUCAUUAAAUACUAAGGAGGAAGGUUUUUGUUAGGUAGAGUUGAGCUCUGGAAGACCAAAACCAGUAUCUAAGAUUUUUUGCAUACACAACCCCCACCUCCUGCCAUGAGAACAAGUGUGUACCCAUUUAGGGAUUAUAUUCCCCCCAAUGGGAAAGCACGUUAUAGAGCAAGGGGAGAAAAGGGUAAAUACAAGGAACAGAAAUUAGACUAAUUAUUUUAAACAGGAGAUAUUUCUCCUUUAUGCAACAGGUACAUUCUACCAUCAGGAAGGUUUUAUUCAUUUGUUUGCUGGCUUAAAUCCAGUGGAAAAUUUUCUUGAAUGAGAAAUCACAUUCCUUAAAGAUUGCUAAAGUGAGGAGUUAUUACUAGUCCUUCACUAAUUAUCUCCAACAAAGAGAAAAUAAAAGGGUAACAAGCUAAGAGGGAUUUUGCUGGGUAGAAGUGAGGGAGAGGAGAAAAAAAAAAAGAGCUGGUUAGCCUGCAGUCUUAUUCUAAUUUGUAAUAUAAGGAUAGCAUAAUAUUUUGAUAUAAGGAUAGCAUAAUAUUUAAUAUAAGGAUAGCGUAAUAGUCAUUGAUAUCAUGACUUAAAAGUUACAAAUACUAUGCUUGUUCUCACCUACUUGGUAUUGAGAGAAUCAGUUUGCUUUCACAGUGUCUCCCACCUCCAAAUUUACAUUAGACAGAUAGCUAGUUUCUCAACUGCUACUAAUUAGAAAAGAAUCCCAUAAGAUAAAAUUUUCAAUUUACAUUUAACUGCCAAGAUUUUAUUUUCCUGAGAAAAGAACUCAACUGUUCAACGGCCACUGAAGAAACCAAAGGACACUUUUAGGAAAGUAUUCAGAGAGGUACUCAAAUAUAAUUCAAGAGGAAAACUUCCCCACACAGAGAAGGCAUUUUUGGACUAUUUCCCAACAUUGCAGCCAUCUUCCUUUGCUAUUAUAUCCUCAUUCAAACUCUAGAACCAGAUUAUAAAAGUCUGCUAGAACUAUGCAAGUCAGAUCAUGUUCCAGUCAAAACUUAACAGCACCUGACAGAAAUUCAAAAAAGCAGUGCAAAGCACAGAAGCAGGGUAGUGUUGUUCUACCCCAACGCUAAUAGACAACUUCUUAAUAUAUUAACAAUACAAACCAAACAUGCAUUGUUGGACAUACCUUGCAAAAUAAAAGGAAAGAAAUACCCUCAACUCACACAUCAGUGAACAUCCACCUCUGUUAAACAUUUAGUAACAAAACAUACCCAGCAAAAUCUGCCUUUCUAAUUCCUAUAUGAGAAUUUAUAGAUUAACUCUGAUAGUUCAUUUCACCCAAGGGCCUAAGAAUUCAUCUUUAUCACUGAUUAUCAGGAUAUUUAUAUAUUUAUAUUCUGUUCUGAAUAAAAACAGAAUUAAAAUAAAGUAUUAUUAUUUUUACAUCUUUUCUUUCAGUAGUUGAGGGGCAAAGCUUUUUAGGGGGAAAAAGGAAAUCCUUUAUGUGAAGCCUGACAUCUUCUGAAAAGAAAUCAUAGUUGAAAAGUAAGAACUUUUUUUUGAAGUUUGGGGGCAGGGGAGAUAUACUAUCUUUCAAGUAAAAGUGUACAAGCUAGCUAAACAUGGUUUAUGUCUUUAAAAGAUCAUAUUUAAGAUGAACAUGCAAUUAUUAUUAUUAUUUAGGGGACAUAAGAAAAAUAAAAGUUUUAUAAAGAUUAAUUUAAGUGACCAUAUUUACAAGGGAACUGGAAACUCCACAGCUCCCUGGCUAAAUAAAAGCAGUCAUCUACUGCACCAGUGUGUAUUUUCAGGCAAAUACAGAAGCAAAACUCAUUAGCUCUUUAAAAAAUACACACAUUUAAUGUUGGUCUGUUUUAAUUCUAAGUAAAGCAAUUCCAAAAAUACAAACUGAACAUCAGAGCCAUGUGAACCACCAAGAUAAAAUAAAACAGACAUUCACAAUAAUUACGUCUAAAGACAGUUCAGCUUAAUAAAUCAUCUUCCAGGUAUGCUAAAGAAAGAAUGACUAAAAAUACUGCUGGUGUUCAGUUAGAAUUAAAGGACUUUGGGGCAAAUGAAAUAAUAUGAUACAGGUGGAGUGAAUAAGGUUACACGGGAUUUACAUUUUCCAUUACCCCUAGAUAUAAACAAACAUUCAAAAUCAACACAAACUCUGUGUGUUAUUCAAAAUAUUGCAGCUGCAGGAAAGGCAACUUUAAAUUAAUAGCUAGGGGAAAAUCAAGUUUUGGUGGAGGUAAACAGAAGUGACAGUUCUUAAUUUGCACUUUUGUAAAGCUCAUUUAUACCUGGCCAACCAGGAACCAAAUGCAGGACUA